AUGAACGCUGGUGGCGUGCCUAAUACAUGCAAGUCGAGCGAACGGACGAGAAGCUUGCUUCUCUGAUGUUAGCGGCGGACGGGUGAGUAACACGUGGAUAACCUACCUAUAAGACUGGGAUAACUUCGGGAAACCGGAGCUAAUGCCGGAUAAUAUUUUGAACCGCAUGGUUCAAAAGUGAAAGACGGUCUUGCUGUCACUUAUAGAUGGAUCCGCGCUGCAUUAGCUAGUUGGUAAGGUAACGGCUUACCAAGGCAACGAUGCAUAGCCGACCUGAGAGGGUGAUCGGCCACACUGGAACUGAGACACGGUCCAGACUCCUACGGGAGGCAGCAGUAGGGAAUCUUCCGCAAUGGGCGAAAGCCUGACGGAGCAACGCCGCGUGAGUGAUGAAGGUCUUCGGAUCGUAAAACUCUGUUAUUAGGGAAGAACAUAUGUGUAAGUAACUGUGCACAUCUUGACGGUACCUAAUCAGAAAGCCACGGCUAACUACGUG
rnacentral:rRNA from 1 species